rnacentral:tRNA from 1 species
CGCAGGGUGGAGCAGUCUGGUAGCUCGUCAGGCUCAUAACCUGAAGGUCCCCGGUUCAAAUCCGGGCCCUGCACCCA